GAUGAACGCUGGCGGCGUGCUUAACACAUGCAAGUCGAACGGAAAGGCCUCAGCUUGCUGGGGUACUCGAGUGGCGAACGGGUGAGUAACACGUGGGUGAUCUGCCCUGCACUUUGGGAUAAGCCCGGGAAACUGGGUCUAAUACCGAAUAUGACCACUUCUUGGAUGUUGUGGUGGAAAGCUUUUGCGGUGUGGGAUGAGCCUGCGGCCUAUCAGCUUGUUGGUGGGGUAAUGGCCUGCCAAGGCGGCGACGGGUAUCCGGCCUGAGAGGGUGUACGGACACAUUGGGACUGAGAUACGGCCCAGACUCCUACGGGAGGCAGCAGUGGGGAAUAUUGCACAAUGGGCGCAAGCCUGAUGCAGCGACGCCGCGUGGGAGAUGAAGGCCUUCGGGUUGUAAACUCCUUUCGCUAUCGACGAAGCCACUUGUGGUGACGGUAGGUAGAUAAGAAGCACCGGCUAACUACGUGCCAGCCGCCGCCGUAA
rnacentral:rRNA from 1 species